CCUACGGGAGGCAGCAGUAGGGAAUCUUCCACAAUGGGCGAAAGCCUGAUGGAGCAACGCCGCGUGGGUGAAGAAGGUCUUCGGAUCGUAAAACCCUGUUGUUAGAGAAGAAAGUGCGUGAGAGUAACUGUUCACGUUUCGACGGUAUCUAACCAGAAAGCCACGGCUAACUACGUGCCAGCAGCCGCGGUAAUACGUAGGUGGCAAGCGUUAUCCGUAUUUAUGGGGCGUAAAGGGAACGCAGGCGGUCUUUUAAGCCUGAUGUGAAAGCCUUCGGCUUAACCGGGGUAGUGCAUUGGAAACUGGGAGACUUGAGUGCAGAAGAGGCGAGUGGAACUCCAUGUGUAGCGGUGAAAUGCGUAGAUAUAUGGAAGAACACCAGUGGCGAAAGCGGCUCUCUGGUCUGUAACUGACGCUGAGGUUCGAAAGCGUGGGUAGCAAAUAGGAUUAGAUACCCUGGUAGUC
rnacentral:rRNA from 1 species